rnacentral:rRNA from 1 species
GAUGAACGCUGGCGGCGUGCCUAAUACAUGCAAGUCGAGCGAACAGACGAGGAGCUUGCUCCUCUGACGUUAGCGGCGGACGGGUGAGUAACACGUGGAUAACCUACCUAUAAGACUUGGAUAACUUCGGGAAACCGGAGCUAAUACCGGAUAAUAUAUUGAACCGCAUGGUUCAAUAGUGAAAGACGGUUUUGCUGUCACUUAUAGAUGGAUCCGCGCCGCAUUAGCUAGUUGGUAAGGUAACGGCUUACCAAGGCAACGAUGCGUAGCCGACCUGAGAGGGUGAUCGGCCACACUGGAACUGAGACACGGUCCAGACUCCUAAGGGAGGCAGCAGUAGGGAAUCUUCCGCAAUGGGCGAAAGCCUGACGGAGCAACGCCGCGUGAGUGAUGAAGGUCUUCGGAUCGUAAAACUCUGUUAUUAGGGAAGAACAAAUGUGUAAAUAACUAUGCACGUCUUGACGGUACCUAAUCAGAAAGCCACGGCUAACUACGUG